rnacentral:rRNA from 1 species
UACAGAGGUCCCAAGCGUUGUUCGGAUUCAUUGGGCGUAAAGGGUGCGUAGGCGGCGGGGUAAGUCAGGUGUGAAAUCCCGGAGCUUAACUCCGGAACUGCACUUGAUACUGCCUUGCUCGAGUACUGGAGAGGAGACUGGAAUUUACGGUGUAGCAGUGAAAUGCGUAGAUAUCGUAAGGAAGACCAGUGGCGAAGGCGAGUCUCUGGACAGUUACUGACGCUGAGGCACGAAGGCCAGGGGAGCAAACGGG